ensembl:lncRNA
CUGGAACACAGCAAAGGAGAGCUUGCUAAUCAUUCCUGCCAACAUGUAGAGGACAGGGGGCCCAACACAGAAACAGUUUCAUUCCCAUCAAAUCUCCAUGAAAUGAGAAAGUGGGUUCUUCAAAAAACCUUUCUCAUUUCACAAAUGUGUAGUAUUUUCCAUCUUCUCUUUCUGGACUUGCAGAACUCCUAACAGAACACUAUUUCAAGAGUCGAGAGAGGGAGAUAACACUUCUCAUCUACGGCUUCCAAGGGUCCCUUUCAUUAUCUACAGAAAUAAGCCUCUGCAUGACAGAAGAGGACUUGUUAACAUUACUGAGAGCUGCUUUAACUACCGGUAUGGAUACUGCUGUUACUGACCAACUGUGAGGAUAAAAAAUGCCUCAGUUAAGGGAUUAUAUCUGCUGUUCUAACCACAGGACGGAGCUGUUUAUUGGUUGUAUUCACUUGCUUGCCUGCCUUUGCUCAAAGACUUUUUUAUGUGAAGAUAAGGAUCCUCUUUGAUCUCUUGCUACAUCCUUGGGGGCAUAAGACAUCAUUUUCUCUGUGGAGCCACCCUGAAGCAUAACAGAUUGACUACAGCUGGAUCAAUGGUACUGAAGCAAAUGGCUGUCUGAAGGACUCC